rnacentral:lncRNA from 1 species
UCCCGGUCCAGGCCCUCUACGUCCAUUUCCUAAGAUGGCUCCGAUGAAUAAUAUUCAGUCCAUGUGGUUCCUUCUCAGAGCAGGUCAGAAAAGAGGGAGCAUCCCUGCUCAGUAGCUCGGGAUUGUUGAAGGACCAUAUGAAUACAUCGCUGCAAUGGUGAUAAGCAACAAUAUCAAUUCUUAGUCCAUUGAUUUACAAUCUGACUGUUUAGAGUUCAAAUUUCAGUUUAGCACAUGCCUAUCUUUUGUUCUUGGUAGACAGAUUGCAGAUGGAGAAGUAUGUGCAUUGU